GAAGGAUAAAGCACAAAAGUCCCCUGCAGAGCAAAAAGGUUUGUCGGAUUCAGGCGAGGACCCCCAGGGAGAGGUUGAGCCCCCCCACCAUGGUCUGGGUCACAAAGAAUCAGCUGGUGAGCGCGACUCUGAGCACCCUGCUCCCGCUGUUGCCUCAGUCAGUGCUACCCUGAGUCCCGCUUCUGAAGCCCAGCUUGCUCCUAUUCAACAAGAACUGGCAGGGAGAUCAGCAGAUGGAUCA